rnacentral:rRNA from 1 species
GACGAACCGUGCGAACGUUAUUCGGAAUCACUGGCUUAAAGGGCGCGUAGACGGGCGACCACGUCGAUGGCUGAAAGCCCCCGGCUCAACCGGGGAACGGGCCUCGAUACGGGUCGCCUCGAGUGGAGGAGGGGGACCUGGAACUGCCGGUGGAGCGGUGAAAUGCGUUGAGAUCGGCAGGAACGCCUGUGGCGAAAGCGAGGUCCUGGACUCCUACUGACGUUGAGGCGCGAAAGCCAGGGGAGCGAACGGG